rnacentral:lncRNA from 1 species
ACUCCUUCAAACCAGUACCUGGAAGGCUCAUCUAAGGUCUUCUAGGCCUAGCAUUCUAACAUCAAAUGAUCAUCUGAUGAUCAUUUAAGGUUGUUGAAAAAUUCUGGUUGUGAACUUCUUUGUCUUUUUAGUUCUUCAUGAUCAUGCAGGAUUGCAAGCCUUUUCACAUUCCUUUAGAAACUCCCCAACUUUUAAAUCAUUUGAAGAAAAGGUCGAAAACUUAAAGUCUAAAGUAGGGGGAACCAAGCCUGCUGGUGGUGAUUUUGGAGAAGUCUUGAAUUCGGCUGCAAAUGCUAGUGCCACCACCACGGAGCCUCUUCCAGAAAAGACACAGGAGAGCCUGUGAGAUUCCUACCUUUGUUCUGCUACCCACUGCCAGAUGCUGCAAGCGAGGUCCAAGCACAUCUUGUCAACAUGCAUUGCCAUGAAUUUCUACCAGAUGUGCUUUUAUUUAGCUUUACAUAUUCCUUUGACCAAAUAGUUUGUGGGUUAAACAAAAUGAAAAUAUCUUCACCUCUAUUCUUGGGAAACACCCUUUAGUGUACAUUUAUGUUCCUUUAUUUAGGAAACACCAUU